GAAAUGGUAAAGGGUCUCCAGUUUCUAUAAAUGUGACAAGGAGCCAACAUCCUUGAUUACGCGUCCCUCUAUAAAUUUUGGAUUGUGAAAUUUUUAUGCUCGGUUUGUGCUGCCGCAUCCCUAACAGAGAGUUGUGCUUUCGACACUUAAGCGUAGACGACGCGAUCGCGUCGCUUUGCCAACGCAGAUUACAGCCGCGCGCUACCCUAUUUCUUCUGUUCUCUUCUUGUUUCUUUUCUUUCUUCUUUUUUUUCUUUCUCUCUCUUACUUCUUCUCAUCACUUUUCUUCUCCCAUUUUUCGUGGCCGGCGGACCACCACCACCGGCAACCACCACCUCCGACGAUCCUAUCUCCUCUCUUAUUUCUCCUCUUUUCAUUUUUCUUCUCCUUCUUUUUAAGGAUGAGGACCACGAAAGGAAAGGAGAAAGGCUCUAGAAAGGCAUCCACCAAGGCACGAGCUCCCAAGCCAUCCAUCAAUCCACCACCAGUAGCAUCACAUGCACCACAACAAUCUAUUCACCAGUUGUUACUUGAACUUACUGAGAAGAUAGACCGAGAAGGCCGGAGGAUUGAGCAGAUUGAGCGACGCAACAAGCGUCGUUAUGACUACUUGAAAAAGCUCAUUGACUGUAUCAAUCCACCUAUAGAGGAACCCAGACACUCCGGAGUAUACCUCUAAUCAUGACGAAGAGAGUAAUCAAGAGAUGAACAUGGAGACGCUCCUGUCUCACCAUCCCAUGGCCAUUGGAAGUGGAAUAAAGUCAACCACCAAGGCGCGAGCUCUCAAGCCAUCCAUCAAUCCUCUACUAGCAGCACUACAUGCACCACAACAAUCUAUUCACCAGUUGUUACUUGAGCUUAUUGAGAAGAUAGACCGGCAAAACCGGAGAAUUGAGCAGAUUGAGCGACGCAACAAACGCCGUUCUGACUACUUGAAAAAACUCAUUAAUUGUACCAACCCAUCUAUAGAGGAACCCGACACUCCGGAAUACACCUCUGAUCAUGACGAAGAGAUCAAGAGAUGAACAUGGAGAUGCCCCUGUCUCACCAUCCCGUGGCCAUUGAAAGUGAGGCAGCCAAAAAAGACUAUCAUUGAUUUGGAACUUGUUUGUUUGAUUAUAGUAUGAUUUUUGAGUUUGAUGUGUAGCUUAUUUCUUUACCUAUAUUUUAGGUGGAAUAAAGUCUCACAAAUCAAGUUAUCCGUUGUGAAACUAUCAUUUUCUUCUGUGAAGGAUUACCAUCAUUGUAUACUGCUUAUGCAACAAAUGUUGGGUUUAAAUGAAAGAGACAAUCCAUUAAGUGAGACAA